rnacentral:rRNA from 1 species
AUGAACGCUGGCGGCGUGCCUAAUACAUGCAAGUCGAGCGAACGGACGAGAAGCUUGCUUUUCUGAUGUUAGCGGCGGACGGGUGAGUAACACGUGGAUAACCUACCUAUAAGACUGGGAUAACUUCGGGAAACCGGAGCUAAUACCGGAUAAUAUUUUGAACCGCAUGGUUCAAAAGUGAAAGACGGUCUUGCUGUCACUUAUAGAUGGAUCCGCGCUGCAUUAGCUAGUUGGUAAGGUAACGGCUUACCAAGGCAACGAUGCAUAGCCGACCCGAGAGGGUGAUCGGCCACACUGGAACUGAGACACGGUCCAGACUCCUACGGGAGGCAGCAGUAGGGAAUCUUCCGCAAUGGGCGAAAGCCUGACGGAGCAACGCCGCGUGAGUGAUGAAGGUCUUCGGAUCGUAAAACUCUGUUAUUAGGGAAGAACAUAUGUGUAAGUAACUGUGCACAUCUUGACGGUACCUAAUCAGAAAGCCACGGCUAACUACGUG